rnacentral:rRNA from 1 species
AACUUACGCUAAUACCGCAUGCGCCCUUCGGGGAAGCCGGGACCUUCGGGCCUGGCGCGAUUGGAUGAGCCCACGUCGGAUUAGCUAGUUGGCGGGUAAAGGCCCACCAAGGCGACGAUCCGUAGCUGGUCUGAGAGGAUGAUCAGCCACACUGGAACUGAGACACGGUCCAGACUCCUACGGGAGGCAGCAGUAGGGAAUAUUGGACAAUGGGCGCAAGCCUGAUCCAGCCAUGCCGCGUGAGUGAAGAAGGCCCUCGGGUUGUAAAGCUCUUUUGUCCGGAAAGAAAAGCGCCGGGUUAAUACCCUGGUGUCCUGACGGUACCGGAAGAAUAAGCACCGGCUAACUUCGUG